GGUGGAGGUAGAGGGACCGGGACCAAGAAGCGUCGGGAGGGGGCGCGACGCAGUCGCCGCUGUGGAUCUAGGUGGUGUGCAUGCUCGCAGAUCGAAGCGCCAAAGCGAGAGAUGCUCGAUAAUUGUCCCAGCGGGGACCUCUAGCCUUCUGAAUCUCGUAAUUCAUGCGCUGAAACAAGGUACCCUUCCUCCAUGCUGGUUGCUAUUCAACCAAUGCUCUGUUUCGAUGUCGAUAUUGGAGGACAUGGAAUUAAAUUGGGUUCAAUACCAAAUCAGCCAUAGUAUUGAAAUGAGAUGUAAUUCUAAUGUUAUUGUUUGGAUGUCACUGAAUUGGAGUUUGGAAUUGUGUGGUUCAAUUCCACAAAAUACAGAGGGGUGAUGCUAUGUAUUGAGAGAGUGAGUUUAUAGUUAUAGUCCAAUUCCAGGGAAUUGAGUCUUUGAUUCCAAAUCUCAAUUCCAUGUGCAACUAAACAAUAUACUUCUAGAAAUCUAAUUCCAAUUCCUAAUUUCGUGCUCCAAUAUUGUUGGAGGUCUUCUUCUCCGCCGAAGGUCCUCAAGACAAAGGUAUCAUUGGCAAAGUAAUUUUGAGGUCUCUCUCUGUCUCUCUCUGUCGAAGAUCCUCGAGACGAAGAUACUGUUUGGAAGCAACGAUGACGAAUACCGAAGCUACCACCGAAGGACAACAACUUCGCCUUAAAAUGAUGCCGAAUAUCAAACAUGGAGCCAAGCCAAAGAGGAAAAGGCUAGUUAGUCCCUAGUGAUUUUUGUUACGAUUAUGGACAAGUGUUAAGGUCAUAAUUGUACUUUUACCCGGGCUGCGUCCCGUGCCUAUAAAUAGGUGAAUAGUACUCCCGUACUUUUCACGCUGAAUUGUAAUCACUAUCGCAUCUACACCUUCGAACAAGCCGAAGGUAUCAAUGUAAUAUAAAUUUGUUAAUGAUCAUGUGCAUAUUAUGAAAUACAUAUGUGUAAG
rnacentral:lncRNA from 1 species